rnacentral:misc_RNA from 1 species
GAAAUGCGAUACGUAAUGUGAAUUGCAAAUUCAGUGAAUCAUCGAGUCUUUGAACUCACAUUGCGCCCCCUGGUAUUCCGGGGGGCAUGCCCGUCCGAGCGUCAUUUCUGCCCUCAAGCACGGCUUGUGUGUUGGGCCCCGUCCUCCGAUCCCGGGGGACGGGCCCGAAAGGCAGCGGCGGCACCGCGUCCGGUCCUCGAGCGUAUGGGGCUUUGUCACCCGCUCUGUAGGCCCGGCCGGCGCUUGCCGAUCAACCCAAAUUUUUAUCCAGGUUGACCUCGGAUCAGGUAGGGAUACCCGCUGAACUUAAGC